rnacentral:rRNA from 1 species
AGUGAACGCUGGCGGUAGGCCUAACACAUGCAAGUCGAACGGCAGCACAGGAGAGCUUGCUCUCUGGGUGGCGAGUGGCGGACGGGUGAGGAAUACAUCGGAAUCUACUCUGUCGUGGGGGAUAACGUAGGGAAACUUACGCUAAUACCGCAUACGACCUACGGGUGAAAGCAGGGGAUCUUCGGACCUUGCGCGAUUGAAUGAGCCGAUGUCGGAUUAGCUAGUUGGCGGGGUAAAGGCCCACCAAGGCGACGAUCCGUAGCUGGUCUGAGGGGAUGAUCAGCCACACUGGAACUGAGACACGGGCCAGACUCCUACGGGAGGCAGCAGUGGGGAAUAUUGGACAAUGGGCGCAAGCCUGAUCCAGCCAUACCGCGUGGGUGAAGAGGGCCUUCGGGUUGUAAAGCCCUUUUGUUGGGAAAAAAAUCCAGCUGGCUAAUACCCGGUUGGGAUGACGGUACCCAAAGAAUAAGCACCGGCUAACUUCGUGCCAGCCGCCGCGGUAA